CCUGGAAGGAGAGCGUGACGGCCUGUCAGAGUAACAACUCUCAGCUGCUCUACAUAGACACUGAGGAAGAAAUGAAAUUGAUGAACUCCAUAUCAGUGUUUUCAUGGAUUGGAGUCUACCGUAACAGCAGCAAUGAGCCAUGGAUAUUUGUAAAUGGGUCAACUUCCCAUUUAGAGAUAAGAAAGCCAGCAUCUUCUAACUACCACUGUGUUAUGCUACAAUCUAAAUAUUAUGCAGAUAAUUGUGAAGUUCUAAAGAUGUAUUAUU